rnacentral:tRNA from 1 species
CGGUGUAGCUCAGCAGGUAGAGCAACGCAUUCGGGAGGCAGAGGUCGUAGGUUCGAAUCCUGCUACUCCGA